UGGGGAAUUUUGCGCAAUGGGCGAAAGCCUGACGCAGUAACGCCGCGUGGAGGAUGAAGGCCUUCGGGUUGUAAACUCCUGUCAGGGGGAACGACGGGGAAGGGGUGAUAAGCCUUUUCCUCCAGACGGUACCUCCAAAGGAAGCCCCGGCUAAUUCCGUGCCAGCAGCCGCGGUAAUACGGAAGGGGCAAGCGUUGUUCGGAAUUAUUGGGCGUAAAGGGCGCGUAGGUGGUUCUGUAUGUCUCUCGUGAAAGCCCACGGCUCAACCGUGGCGUGUCGGGAGAAACUGCAGGACUUGAGGCUGGGAGGGGCUGGUGGAAUUCCCUGUGUAGCGGUGAAAUGCGUAGAGAUGGGGGAGAACACUCGUGGCGAAGGCGGCCAGCUAGACCAGUUCUGACACUGAGGCGCGACAGCGUGGGGAGCAAACAGGAUUAGAUACCCCCGUAGUCC
rnacentral:rRNA from 1 species